rnacentral:rRNA from 1 species
AGUGAACGCUGGCGGCAGGCCUAAUACAUGCAAGUCAAACGGCAGCACGGCAGAGCUUGCUCUGUGGGUGGCGAGUGGCGGACGGGUGAGGAAUACAUGGGAAUCUGCCCAGUCGUGGGGGAUAACGUAGGGAAACUUACGCUAAUACCGCAUGCGCCCUUCGGGGGAAAGCCGGGGACCUUCGGGCCUGGCGCGAUUGGAUGAGCCCAUGUCGGAUUAGCUAGUUGGCGGGGUAAUGGCCCACCAAGGCGACGAUCCGUAGCUGGUCUGAGAGGAUGAUCAGCCACACUGGAACUGAGACACGGUCCAGACUCCUACGGGAGGCAGCAGUAGGGAAUAUUGGACAAUGGGCGCAAGCCUGAUCCAGCCAUGCCGCGUGAGUGAAGAAGGCCCUCGGGUUGUAAAGCUCUUUUGUCCGGAAAGAAAAGCGCCGGGUUAAUACCCUGGUGUCCUGACGGUACCGGAAGAUAAGCACCGGCUAACUUCGUGCCAGCAGCCG